rnacentral:lncRNA from 1 species
AUGGCCAGGAAGUUCUGGGGUCUCUUGAGGAAAACUUUUUGCUGCCAACUGACAGAUAGUCUAUCUGAGGCUGACUUUCAGAACUUCUCUGACUUGGAAUGUGACCCACCUGAGGUGAGAUCUUACUGGACUGCUAAAGGGACCACGGCAGGAUCGCCUAAAGGACCGUGCGUAUCCGAGCUGGAGGAGUUGUACUUCCAGGACAGAUUGUGUGGUCUGCAGCAUAAAUCGAAUGAUGCCUCGAAGUACAAUCAGGAGCAGACGAUCUGGGUCUGUGACCUAGAGGACACCGUGGACUUUGAGGAGCAGCCACGUUGGCCAAGGAUGUACAGGCAGACCUCCCGGGAGCUGGAGAAGCAGAAGUCCCUGGAGGACUUGAUGAAAGAGAAGCAGAUUCUGGAAAAACAUCUGCACUGUAUGUCCCACCUCCAGCAAGAGGUUGCACUCUUACAAGACCAACUGCAAAGGACCAAAUUUCCAUCUCCACCUUACAUCUGUCCCCUGGCUACCUCUCCGUCUCGCCCCGGCUUCUGCUCCCCUGCUCCUGUGAGGCUCAACUUCUCCCAGAGAAAGUGCUCGGAAACAGUACCAGAGCUGAAAUCAACAAGGAAGGCUCUGCCAGGUGGUAUGUGCUCCCACUCCCAAGAGAGGGAAGAAGAUGGACUUUCCUCCUCCUCCUCCAAUGACUCCAGUUUAAGCCUCACACCAGCCCUCUCCAAAUGCCAAAUGAGGAAAAUCUCCAGUCACAGUGAUCUAGCUGAUGCCCCUGCUUCCCAGGAUCUUGGCCAUGGUGAACUUGACCCACAGAGGGUGGAGGAGUCUUCUCAGGACGGCUCUGAGGAGGACCAGCAGGACAUCGGCUGGGAGAAGGCCAGUCUCACGUCAGCAGAGCUCCCUGCAUCUCAAGCCGGCAGAGCGUCAGUCAUCGGGGAAGAGGGCGGUGGCGGUACACCCACGCUGAGUAGUGAGGAAGCAGGGUCCGGAGAACAGUGCCAAGAAGCUGGUCUGACUUCUACCUUGAGCUGCUUGGCACCCAGAUCAGAAAGCAAGCACGAAGAGUCUUCUGACCUCACCGACUCCAGCAAGCCCGAAGGUCAUGCCGGUUUUGAACACUUCUCGCCCACCGCCGAAGGUGCCUUCUGCUAAAAAUGUGGUAACAGCUGGUCCAGAACUCACCUCUGUUCCUGUCUUGACUGCUGGGAGAAGGAAGAAUAAUUCCCAGUGAUAGGAAGAGUUUGCUGCUUCUCCUAUGCCUCCAAUUUUAAUCCUGUUUCUGAAAUAAAGUAGUUGAGAACUCAGUCUCUGAUCUUCUAUUCCCUAUGACGGAGCCUUCAUCUUCCUUUCUUACGGAUUGGACAUGGGCAUCAAUUAAGUUGGCCACUAGAUAAGAGGAGGGAAGAGAUGUUGCUAAAGUCUGGAUCCAGUCUGUUCUACCUCCUCUUCUUUCUCCCACCAGUUGGAGCAAGGAGCACUUUUAAGAGGCUGAACCCACAUGCAGGUGUCUUCCUCAGAUUCCUGCUGGAUAGUUUUGCUGUCUGAUUCGGGCUCAAAAAGUGAGCUGAGCAAGGAUGCUAAGCAUCCUCAUGUGCAGAAAGUUUGACUCUCUUCACUCUAUCACCUCUGCAGUUAAGCAGGGGCCAUUGGGAGGAAGGGAAUGGAUAAAUGGGAGUAGUGGAUCAGGUCACUGAUCCAACUGCUUAGAAACAACUCAAACAGUGCCAAUAGGUGCCUUUUGGCAGGUGUGGGCAAGCCUAUUUUGACAAUGUUCUGGUUCCCCUUAAAGGCUGAGGAGGGGAUCAGGCAGGGUAUUAUUCCUAGCAGAGGCUUUAACACUUCCCAAAAAUGACUGGGCAAUGAGAGCCAUUCAGAAAGCUGGUUGGGGCUUCCUAAAUUAGAAGUAUUCUUCACUGCCACACCCCCUCCCCUUCCUCCAUCCAGCAAACAUAACUACUCCCACCUUUCUCUCCGCCAAGCAAAUGCUCUCU